AUAGAAAACAACCAAAUACAAAUCGAUAUAAAGCUAUCAGUCGAAAUCGCAUUUUUCGAGCUAAGGAAAUUGAAUACAAAGCUAUAAUUUCCUGGGCACAGAAAUUAUUCUCAUUUCGAAAUGAAAUUUGAAAAUUUGAACAAGAGUUCAAGGCGUCUGUUAUAUGUAGACCAACAUUUCUUCAAAUUUUGAUCGCAACAAUAUUAAAAGUUUCACUUGAUAUAGCCAAAAAUCCGAUCUUUAUAACUUUAAAUAAAGUAUAUCAGAUUCCAUAUAAACAUACAAUCACAUGUGAAAUUUGAACUUACCUUUUCUUGAUUCCCCCUUUAACUUUUCUGUACCUGCUAAGGAAACUUUAAAACAUUGCUAUCAUAGUAUCUUGAUUUACUCCGAACAACGGACAAGCAACUCCAAACAACAAACUCAAAGCUAAAAUAUAUUAAAAAAAACUCUUAUACAGUUCUAAUGUGAACACUAGCGACUAGCUGAACUUACUAUUCUGCGCUUGGCAACGCAUACACAAUUGUGCACAACACGUCAUUCUAGGCUAAAUUAUUUUCUCCUGCUAUUUUCUCGAAAGCACGCGUAUCAACUACAAAACUUGGCAACAUUAAUAUCAUGAAACCCCUCCUCCACUAACGGAAACAAAUACUCAAUUGCUUUCCUGUCAACCAACAAAGUUAGUAAUUUUAGAUUCUUUUUAUUACUGAAUAUUAUUUUGCCC